rnacentral:rRNA from 1 species
CCUACGGGAGGCAGCAGUGGGGAAUAUUGGGCAAUGGGCGCAAGCCUGACCCAGCAACGCCGCGUGAAGGAAGAAGGCUUUCGGGUUGUAAACUUCUUUUCUGAGGGACGAAGAAAGUGACGGUACCUCAGGAAUACGCCACGGCUAACUACGUGCCAGCCGCCGCGGUAAUACGUAGGUGGCAAGCGUUAUCCGGAUUUAUUGGGUGUAAAGGGCGUGUAGGCGGGAAAGCAAGGCAGAUGGGAAAACUCAGGGCUCAACGCUGAGCCUGCAUUUGAAACUGUUUUUCUUGAGUGCUGGAGAGGCAAUCGGAAUUCCGUGUGUAGCGGGGAAAUGCGUAGAUAUACGGAGGAACACCAGUGGCGAAGGCGGAUUGCUGGACAGUAACUGACGCUGAGGCUCGAAAGCGUGGGGAGCAAACAGGAUUAGAUACCCUUGUAGUC